rnacentral:rRNA from 1 species
UACAUGGGGUGCAAACGUUGCUCGGAAUUAUUGGGCGUAAAGCGCACGUAGGCGGUUUGUUAAGUCGGAUGUGAAAUCCCUCGGCUCAACUGAGGAAGUGCAUCCGAAACUGGCAGGCUUGAGUACUAAAGAGGGUCGCGGAAUUCCCGGUGUAGAGGUGAAAUUCGUAGAUAUCGAGAGGAACACCGGUGGCGAAGGCGGCCUUCUGGACAGUGACUGACGCUGAGACGCGAAAGCGUGGGGAGCAAACAGG